CCAGUUCGCUGCUUAUUUACCUGUUUGUUACUUAAAGUGCAUAUUUAUCAAGUUCUACCAAUACUGACUUGAUAUUAAGGAGAUUUCUUUCGCUUCUGGAAUUCAAUAAUGUAAAUAAAUGCCCUUUACGAGUGAACUAUGUUAUUUUUCCACUGUUUUUAUUGCUUGCAUGCUUCAAUGUCAAGGCGCUGCGGAACAUGCAAGACUUUGCAACCACAUGAAGCACAUAUCUAUACAAGACGAACACGAAUAUUGCUGUGUGGAAAAAUGUAAAUUCCCGUUGUCCUUCGAAAAGUUUGGUGGAUAGGCUGUGGUUAACUUAUGAUUGCCAACAUGUCUCUCAGGCAGUUGAGGUCUGGGACCGGACAGCUAAGAACCUUUAUGCUCCAUGAUGGAAGGUAUGAAGCUCGUCAAGAAACAUCCACAAGUGGAAUGUGAAGGAUUUGGACCUUUUUUUUGUCUCCAAAUAAAUUAUAGUAGCCUAGAAGCGUCAGAACUUCCGUUCCAAUUUUGCGCACUUUGUUCCACAAAUUAGAACUUUGAGGAAAUUAUUGAGAGGGAAUCAUCGAUUACUAUGAUAACACGAAUGGAUACAAUUGAAAUACAAUCUUGCUGUAGUAUUCUUUAAAGCAAAACACUGAACGAAGUGUUUUACAAGUAUAAUGAUUGAGGAACAAGUUUAUUUGUUUGUUGGGAGUAGAGUAACAAGCUGAUUGGUUAGCUGGGGGACAUGAGAGAAAUGGGUUUAAUGCAAGGGUCAGCAGUCAGAAGAAGAGGAAGAUGCAUUGAUCAUAGAUCAGAGUAGAAGGAAGCAUAAAAGAUCAGUAGCACUUGGUAUUACUGGAGAUUGACAGGAAGGGUCAUUGAUGGUCGUGGUGAGAAAGAGACAUUGAAGAGUAGAAUAAAGUAAACAUCAAUAAUUUACAUUAACCCUUCAGUUCCUCAGACUUUAAG
rnacentral:lncRNA from 1 species